rnacentral:rRNA from 1 species
UACGUAGGGUGCAAGCGUUGUCCGGAAUUAUUGGGCGUAAGGAGCUCGUAGGCGGUCUGUCACGUCGGCUGUGAAAACCCGAGGCUCAACCUCGGGCCUGCAGUCGAUACGGGCAAACUAGAGUACUGCAGGGGAGACUGGAAUUCCUGGUGUAGCGGUGAAAUGCGCAGAUAUCAGGAGGAACACCGGUGGCGAAGGCGGGUCUCUGGGCCGAUACUGACGCUGAGGAGCGAAAGCGUGGGGAGCGAACAGG